rnacentral:misc_RNA from 1 species
UAGGCUUGACAUGCACGAGCAAGCUCUCGUUUCUGAGAGCUUGCUCGUGCAUGUCAAGCCUAGGUAAGGUUCUUCGCGUUGCGUCGAAUUAAACCACAUGCUCCACCGCUUGUGCGGGCCCCCGUCAAUUCCUUUGAGUUUCAACCUUGCGGUCGUACUCCCCAGGCGGGGUACUUCCUGCGUUAGCGCCGGCACCCAGAGGGUCGCUCCCCCAGGCACCUAGUACCCAUCGUUUACGGCGUGGACUAC